AGUGAACGCUGGCGGUAGGCCUAACACAUGCAAGUCGAACGGCAGCACAGUAAGAGCUUGCUCUUACGGGUGGCGAGUGGCGGACGGGUGAGGAAUCCAUCGGAAUCUACUUUUUCGUGGGGGAUAACGUAGGGAAACUUACGCUAAUACCGCAUACGACCUACGGGUGAAAGCAGGGGAUCUUCGGACCUUGCGCGAUUGAAUGAGCCGAUGUCGGAUUAGCUAGUUGGCGGGGUAAAGGCCCACCAAGGCGACGAUCCGUAGCUGGUCUGAGAGGAUGAGCAGCCACACUGGAACUGAGACACGGUCCAGACUCCUACGGGAGGCAGCAGUGGGGAAUAUUGGACAAUGGGCGCAAGCCUGAUCCAGCCAUACCGCGUGGGUGAAGAAGGCCUUCGGGUUGUAAAGCCCUUUUGUUGGGAAAGAAAAGCAGCAGGUUAAUACCCCGCUGUUCUGACGGUACCCAAAGAAUAAGCACCGGCUAACUUCGUG
rnacentral:rRNA from 1 species